AGUAUUGUGCCGGAUAAACGGGUUAUCUUGAUGUGGUAAACUAUAUAGGUGAAAGGCCUUUCAGUACUG
rnacentral:tRNA from 1 species